UACGUAGGGUGCAAGCGUUGUCCGGAAUUAUUGGGCGUAAAGAGCUCGUAGGCGGUCUGUCGCGUCUGCUGUGAAAACUCAGGGCUUAACCCUGAGCUUGCAGUGGGUACGGGCAGACUUGAGUCCGGUAGGGGAGUGUGGAAUUCCUGGUGUAGCGGUGAAAUGCGCAGAUAUCAGGAGGAACCCCGGCGGCGAAGGCGGCACUCUGGGCCGGUACUGACGCUGAGGAGCGAAAGCGUGGGUAGCAAACAGG
rnacentral:rRNA from 1 species